UGCAAGUCAAGCGGAGUAGCAAUACUCAGCGGCGAACGGGUGAGUAMCACGUGGGUAAUCUUCCUCCGAGUCUGGGAUAACUUUCCGAAAGGGGAGCUAAUACUGGAUAGUCCCGAGAGGUCAUAGGAUUUUUCGGGUAAAGAUUAUUGCUCGGAGAUGAGCCCGCGCCCGAUUAGCUAGUUGGUGAGGUAAUGGCUCACCAAGGGGCGGC
rnacentral:rRNA from 1 species